rnacentral:lncRNA from 1 species
UCCACUUAUUCCCUUCACCACCUAAUUGCCUCUUGUUCCAUUAAACUUAAGCUAACAAACUAUCUCAUAUGAAGGACACAAAUGAUGCAGUUGAUUCAUGUGAUGUGACUAACCUAUAUCAUCAAGGAGAAUGAACCAAUUGCGAGUGGUCAUUCUACUGGAAAGUCUGUUGAGAAAGUCGUGGUUAUAAGUGUUGAGGAUAAUGUAGAAUAUAGUGGUAGUGUUGAUGAUUGUAGGAGAAAUAUGUACUGCUAAGGAACUGGAUCUUAGGCACCUUGAUAGAAGAUGACAUGUACUUUAUUGUGGGUUUCUCAACUACCAAGGAGAUGUGAGAAUGCUUAAAUAAGGCCUAUCUACAAGCAGCAAAGAUAAGGUGUUUUAGCUUAAACAAUAACUGCAAAGUAUAGGCUAGGAACCACGAAAAUUGAUGAUUACAUAAAGAAAUUCAAAGGAAUAUGUGAUGGUCUUGAAGCCAUUCACAAUCCUGAGGAUGAAGAUAGAAAAGUAAUGAACUUUAGGUUUAGGUCUCAAGUACAAUUCCUUCAAGAUUUUCAUGCUAGGUAAUGCACCAUAUUCCACUCUUAAUCAAUUUGUUAAUUCUCUCAAGGUUUUUGAUAUGAAAGAGGAUGAAGAAGAAUUGCAACUACAUAACCUUAACAUGGCAUUCUUUGCCCAAAGGAUAAGGGGAAGAGGAAACUACUCUUAGAAAAGUGGAAACAACAACUUCAACUCCAAAGGAAGGGGUCUCAAACCUGUUGGACAAGGAUCAAAUUAAAUACUUAGAAUAAUCAAAGCUUCUAAAGUAUAAAUAAGGAUAGGAAUACUACCGAGUCGUUUAAAAUUUUUGGUAGAAAUAAUGAUUCUACUCUUAAGUGCUUUUACAGGUGGGACUACUCUUGUCAAUAUGUAGAUGAACUACCACAUGCAUUGGCUGCUAUCAAUCUGCAAAAUACAUCAUCUACAUAUGACACUUUGUAUAUGGACUCAAAAGCCAGUAUUCUAUCUAAUUUAAACACUACAGUGGAUUUUAUAAAAUUGUUGUUGGGAAUGGAUCACAAUUAGACAUAACACAUGUUAGGAAUACAACUAGAUCAUGUUUGAAAUAAGAAAAUGUCCUUGUAGUUUCUAAGAUUGCUGUGAAUCCACUCUCAGUUUGUAAAAUUGCUAAGGAUAAUUGUUGCACUCUUGAAUUUGAUGAAACUAACGUCGUUGUAAAGGACAAGAACACAAGGACAAUACUAACCUAGGGAUCUAAGAGAACUGGACUCUAUGCUUUGACUCCUACACAAGAUUAGAACACAUCAGACAUCAUAGAGCAUACUAUAUUAGGACAUCCUAGUUUAAAGUUGUUAAAAGUUUUAAGUAACAGUAGUUGCAUUAAUGUUAAUAGUUGGAAUAAAAUGCAUAUUGUCUGCAGUUGGACAAAAUUUGUAAACUUCCACUUGACUUGAAGAAUAGAAUUGACAACUAACCUUUAUUGAAAACACAUUUUGAUUUGUGGGUUCCUUCUCCUGUUGAAUUUUUUCAGCAUAUGAAAUAUCAUGUAGUGUUUGUAGAUGAUUACACAAGGUAUACAUAGCUUUAUCCAAUGAAAAAGAUGGUUGAAAUUUUUGAAGUAUUUGUUACAUUUCAGAAAAUUGUGUAAAACAAUUCUCUAAAGACAUUAAGAUGUUCCAGUGUGAUAGAGGUGGUGAAUUAAUCAAAACAUACUUCAUUAAAAUUCUAGAAGAUUGUAGUAUUGUUAGGCACAUUUCAUGUCCUAACACACCUGAAAAAAGGAGUCUCAGAAAGAAAACAUAUGCAUAUUGAUGAGAUUGGAUUAACUAUUCUAAUACGUGCUAAUCUUCCUUUGUUUCUAUGAGUUGAGGCCAUGCACUAUUUUUCAUUAAUAGACUGUCGUACUCAGUUUUAAAGAUGGUUACUCCAUUUGUUAGGCUAUAUGGUGAGAAACCUGAUUAAAACAUCUUAAAGGUGUUUAGGUUUAGGUGUUUCACAUAUAUAAAGGGUAGUACCAAGUUUAGCUUGAAGACCUGCUCUUGUGUGUUCAUAGGAUACAAUAGAUUGCACAGGGGAUACAGAUGUUAUCUUCCCUCAACAAGGGAAGUGUAUGUGUCCAAACAUGUUGAUUUUAUGAAAGAACAUUACCUUUUAUCCUCCAAAUCAAACUUAUACUAAUAUUUAUGUCUCACCUGAUCUAGAUACUUUUGUUGAGUUUUUCUCUUAAUUUCCGGCAUAUGAGGAUACUUAUUCAGGGGAAAUGCUUAUACUGUGUCAACAACUAGUGAGAAUCUUGCAUAUAUUAAAACACAGGUUGUUGAUAAUACACAAGCUACUGGUGAUAAUGUUAUUGAACAUAUAACAACACUCAUGCCUAUUGAUGAUGAUAUUGAUGUUGAACAAUCAGAUGCAGUUUCAGAUAAUGGUGGUAAGGAUCAAGUUAAUCAUGCAGGUUUAGAUAGUGGUGGUCCAUCGAAUCAUACUUCUUUUGUGUCUAGUCCACAAGAGAUACACUAAAAGGUUGAUAUAUUAGUAUGAUAUAUGACUGAGAACCAACAAUCUAGAGAAACUACACUAUAACUAGCUGCCUCACUUGAUACAUCUCAUAUACCACAAGGCAUCACAUGACUACUAAACACAAGGAAAAGGUUCAUCACUUAUCUCUAGUUCCUAAAAACAAAGAAGAGAUUGUGAGAGAACCAAAAACUACUAAUGAGGCACUAGAGUCACCACAUUGGCUUGCAGUUGUGCAGAAGAAAAUCAAUGUUUUACAUAACAACAAGACAUGGACAUUAGUGCCUAAAUCGGCUGGUAUGAACCCAGUUAGUUCAAAAUGGGUGUCCAAGACCAAGUUGAAGAAAAAUGGAAUAGUAGAUAGAUACAAAGAAAGACUUGUUGCUAGGGGUAUUUCACAGCUUGAAGGGAUAGAGUUUGAAGAAACAUUUGGCCAUAUAGUCAAGGCCACAACUAUUAGGGUGGUUUUAUCAGUUGCUAUUAGCUCUAAGUUGGAAAUAAGGCAACUUGAUGUCAAAAAUUAAUUCCUACAUGGUCUUUUGGAAUAAGAGGUAUACAUGAGUUAACCUCUUGGAUUUAUUGACUCUAAAUAUCCUCACCAUGUUUUUCUGUUAAAGAUGGCAUUGUAUGGCCUUAAACAUGCAUCAAGAUUUUGAUAUGAUAGAUUUAGCAUGCAUCUCCUACACCUUGGCUUUACUUAUAGUAAGGCAGACCCCUCAUUGUUCACAUUGCAAACUCAUAAAGGUUCAAUAUUCCUCUUGUUGUAUGUAGAUGACAUUAUUGAAAUAAGAAGUAACCAAUUACAUGUCUUUGAGUUGGUUUUACAACUUGGAAGAGAGUUUGUUAUGAAGGAUCUCUGUCCUAUACAAUUCUUUCUUGGAGUGGAGGUCAAAUAUUUUAUGGGAGGAGUUUACUUGAGUCAGAGUAAGUAUGCCGCUGCCCUACUUAACAAGACUGAUAUGAAAUUGUAAAAAGUUAUAGCUACUCCUUAGGAAAAAUUGCUUGGUCAAAAUAAAGGGGUUGGAAGUCUGUAGAUGCCUCUUUGUACAUAAGGAUAGUAGGUAGCCUCUAGUAUUUGACACUCCCAAGGCCUGAUAUCACUCAUGUAGGCAAUCUAGCCAGUCAGUUUAUGCAAUGUCUUAAUAAUGAACACAUUCAAGGAGGUAGAAUGAUUCUCAGGUACAUCAAAUGUACUCUACAAUUUGAACUCAAACAGUCAAACUUAUCUCAUAAUCACCUUGUAUGUUGUAUGGAUAUUCAGAUACUCAUUUGGUUGUGAGGAUGCAUUACCACUCCGAGAUCCACUACAGGCUAUAGCAUCUUCCUAGGUGCAAAUCAUUUUUCUUGGAUUUCCUAGAAACAGCCAAUAGUAGCAAGAUCAAGUGUUGAAGUUGAGUAUAGAUCACUAACCUUUACUGCAACAGAGAUGACAUGGAUCAUCUACCUACUUCAUGAUGUUAGAGUGUACCUCAACACAAUGUCUACAUUGUAUUGUUAUAAUUUGAGUGCUUUGUACAUGAAAGUUGAUGUGAGGCCAAAUAUAUAUAUUUUUAAUCAUUAUUUGUCUCACAUUUAUUAUUUGUAUUUAUCCUUUUUAAGUAUGAAUUUUAUGGAUUGUGCUAAAUAAUGUAUUUUAUUUGUAGGAGUAAAUUGGUGUAAUGCUGAAGAAGUUUGGAGCUAAAACAAAUUAAAGAUGGAAGGUUAAAGAAGGAAAUCAAGCAAGCAGCGUAAUGGAUUAAAAGUUAUAAAAUAAUACAUAAGUUAAAUUGCAAUUCUGCUGCCAUGUGUAAGAAUCUGCAGAUAGGCACAAAAUUUUGAACGCAUAGCUUCACGCGGAAAAUAAAAAGGAAUUCAACUCUGUUUUGGCUUUAGGUUCCUAAUUUGAUUUGGACUUAGUUAUUUUAUUUAGGAUUUUCUAGAUCUAUAAAUAGUUCAAAAAAAUAAUUAUAGAAGAAAAAAAAAAUAUAUAGGGCAUCAAGUAUAAAGUUGUCAAUACUUUUUAGGGUUCUUUACUUCUUCUUUUCUUAGACAUUAGUAGCUAAAGACCCUUGUUAUGGGGCUGCAACUAUGGUUAAUUGUUGAACAUAGAUUUUUUUGAAUUAAUAUUGGUUAUCACUUAAAUCACUUUUGUAUUCUUAUUUUAGUAUUUCAUGCUUGAUCACCAUAGAGAUAAAUAUAUUGCCUAUUCUUGGACUCGGGAGAUGAUAUGGUAGAUAGACCAAAGAAUACAAAAGGCUUGAUCUUCCAUUAAAUUGAGUUGAUUUGUGUUAGUAGUGACGCACGGACGAACACCUAUCUUGGUUAAAAAACAGGAUGAAAUAUAAAUGCUGGCCAAUUAGGACUGCUUAUCCCCACUCAACGAUGUAGUUAUACAACUAAUUGGGGUAGGCGAUUAGAGGUCGGGAGACCAUGAUCAUAAAGUAAACCUUGUAAAUCAGUAAUUUGAUAACCAUAAUUACUUCAUGUAUGAGGUGUGAUAAAUGAAACCCUAUACAUGUUGCAACCCUGGGAUUUUCCAAUCACUGUAAGUAAUUUUAUUUUUAAUUCCUACAUUCUUUUCUUUACAAAUAAAAAUCAAACAGUUUUGGCACUCUUAAAUAAAUAAUUAGACUAGUAUAAUUUAGUAAAAAUUGUUAAUCGACAAGUCAUUUGGGUUCGAUAAUCUGAUUCUUUUAAGAGCCACUAUUACUUGCGCGACCACGUACACAUGCGUGGGCAAUUGGGAGCAACAAAUUUUUGGAGCCGCUGCUGGGGACUUAUAAAUUAACUAUUCUUCUAGUUUAUAUUUUUUCUUUUUAUUUAUUUAUUUAUUUAUUUAUUUAUAUUGAUACAUAGUUUUUUAUAUUAAUUAAUACUCUUCGUGGGAUGAACGGGAAUGAUGAUUAUUCAUGUGUGGUAAGACCUUGUCCUUAUUGCAAAGGAGCCCAAUUUUGGCAACAAUGUCAAUAUAUUUCUGAGGCAGAAUUGUGUGUACCAUCUUUAUCCUAUAGCUUUGUAGUGAUUUUUGGGUCGGUUGUACCGUGUUUUGCUACCCUACUCCAAAACCCUACCAUGAUGAUUCUAAUAAUCUUUGUUCCUUUGAUAGUAUGGAAUCUUGCAGGAAAUUAAUAGAGGAAUAUGAAGAGCGUCGUAGGAGAAUCAUAUAUGUAAUGUCAUACCUUAUAGAUAGAAAAAUGAAGCAUUUUCAAGAUGUUUAAUUUUUUUUUUGCAUACUCAAAAUUUAAGCAAUGAAUUGAAUGCAAAGGUUGCUGCGUUAGACGUUCAACAAUCCAAUUAUGAGUUUUGUGAUACUGAAAAGGCACUCAGAAGUCAAAUAGAGGUUCUAAAAUGGGAGGAGAUACAAUGCAAUCAGACUUUUCUUGAAGGUUACACGUUUGAGAAAGAGUACAAAAAUGAGAAUGUUGUAAAUAAUGUUGCUUUGGAGUCGAGGCAACUUGAAUCUCAUUCAAAACACUUUUCUAUAUUAUGCUUAGAUGGCGACAUGAAAAUCGAGUCAUCUGAACUAAUGAAUGAGUGUAUAGAUGAGGAACAAAGCCCCUACAUUAUAAUGUUUUUUAGUCCACGUAGACAACGACAUUCCUCACAUAAGGGUCAACAAAUGCAAGAUGCAACAUAUAUUACUUAGUUCCUUUAUCUUUAUACCACUGCCCCUACAGAGGAGCAGAAAAAUUGAUGCAAAGUUAGGGGUAAAAUUCAUAAGUUCAAAGUGGAAAGAAAAGUGGUGAAUUUAUUUGUGUCGUGCCGCGACAUUAAAUUAGGCGCUUAUUGGGCGGCAACCCAAUUACUAGUGUCACUUUUUUUGUUUUUUUGUCUUGUUUUUGUAGAUUAGGGGAAGUCUGAGUACCCAAAAAUUUGAAGCGAAGGAACACGUUUGAGUUUAAGUGUGGGGUGCGUACGACCUUUCAUGAAAAUUAAGAGAACAUGCUACUAGCUAGGCCUUAAGGCCUCAUGGAGUUUUCCUAACCCUUGUUUUAAAUUUUAUUUGACUUUUGGGGGGCAUAUCACCUUUUUUAAGUGUGGGGGUGGAGGAAUGAAUUCCUAGUUUGUACUGUUUUAUUGUGUCUUUUCUAUAUUUAGGAUGGGUUCCUUGACUUUUGCUUUCGAUUCUUAUCCCGAUGAUAGUCCCUCUGAACCAAGUGUCUUUAAUUUUUUUAGGAAUAAUUUUUUUUGAGAGAAAAGAAAAGAUCAUUUUGAGUGGUGUGAUACUUGCUAUUUAGGCCUGAUUUUUGAGUAGUGAUUUCUUGUGAAUGCUUGAUUGAUAAGGAAAUUGCAGACUCCGUUAUACCGAGGCUCAUGGUUGUGACUUUGUAUAUAGCUUAUUUUAUUUUGUAGUUUGUUAUGAUUCUAUCUCUCUUAAAAGUGAAAUUGAUCCAUCUUGAUUGAUACUUGUUCUAUGUGUGGUGAGAAUUUGCUUAUUCCAUGUUUCGCAUCUUAGUCUAAAACAUGCACUGCAUGUUAUUGAAGCGAAAUAAAAAGUGUUGCUUUGUUUAGGAGAUGAUAAUAGGCUUUCUUUGAUUUGUCUUGUAAAUUUUAGCCUUUUCAGAUAUUAUAUCACUAGUUAGCCCUUUUGAGCCUGUAACCUUUUGUUGGUAGCCAUAUUUUGCCCUUUACUAUUUUUGAAUCCCUAAGUUGAAUCCCUAGUUUUUGCACCUUGCUUCCUUGAGGAUUGUAGCAUAGACUUAUUCUAAUUAUCAAUUUUGAGAAAAAGGGAUGGUUGAGUGAAAAGGUAAUCAAUGAUAGCUACAAAGUGCUUAAAAAUCUCUCUUUGAAAGAAUGUGAUACGAAAAAAAAAGAAAGAGAACAAAAGAAUGUGACAUAAAAAAAUCCUUUGAAAAAAUAAGAGAAAAAAUGAUUGAAGCAUUCUUGAGAUGAUGAGAAUUACUUGUGAAAUAAUUGUUGAAGAGAGGGCUAAAAAGAAAGAGAAGAAAAUAAUGGGUGAUGCAGUCUAACUUAAGGAAGUGUAAGUCACUAUUAUAUAGUUUUUCUACCCGUUAAAGUUUUGAUUCUAUUCAAGCAUCCUUAAUUAGUUACAUAAUGGCCAAGCCUAUGGUUCUUUGUCCAUAUAUGUGAAUUGUAUUUCUGAGUGUGAGUUGUUCUUUGAUGCUAAGUCCUUAAUUUAUAUUCGAUCUUUUGAAUUGAGUGUGUGGACUAUUUUUUCUUGUGAGGGCACUUGUUUCAUGAUGGAUAUGUGAUUCUAUUAACUUUCUUUGAUGAGAGUAGGUGAGCAAGCUUAAAUUUUAUGAGUUCAAAGUCCUUCCUUGAGGUUAGGAGGUUAGAGGCUUGUUGUUUAUUUGGAUGUGUUGCAUAAUGAGCAGGAAUUGAACUUGAUGUUUUGAAAUUCGUAUAUGGUCUAAUUGUUUGUAUCUACUAAAGUGAUGACAUUCCUAGUAUGAUUUUUUGAGAUGAGCUUUAAUGUUUGAUCGAAGACGAGCAAAAGUUUAAGUGUGGAGUGUUGAUGUGAGGCCAAAAAUAUAUAUUUUUAAUCAUUAUUUGUCUCACAGUUGUAUUUGUAUUUAUCCUUUUUGAGUAUGAAUUUUAUGGAUUGUGCUAAAUAAUGUAAUUUAUACAUAGGAGUAAAUUGGUGUAAAGUUGAAGAAACUUGGAGCUAAGCCGAAUUAAAGAGAGAAGGUUGAAGAAGGAAAUCAAGCAAGCAACUUAAUGGAUUAAAAGUUAUAAAAUAAUACAUAAGUUAAAUUGGAAUUACAAUUGCAAUUCUGCUGCCACGUGUAUGAAUUCGAAGAUAGGCACAAAAUUUGGUAUGCACAGCUUCACGCGGAAAAUAAAAAGAAAUUCAACUCUGUUUUGGUUUUAGGUUCCUAAUUUGAUUUGAAAUCAGUUAUUUUAUUUAGGGUUUUCUACAUCUAUAAAUAGUUCAGAGAAAUAAUAAUGGGAGAGAAAAAAAUAUAAGGGAUCAGGUAUAAAGUUGUCCAUACUUUUUUGAGAAAGAAGUUGUCCAUACUUUUUAGGGUUCUUUUCUUCUUCUUUUCUUAGAUAUUAGUAGCUAAAGAGCCCUGUUUUGGGGCUGCCACUAUGGGUAAUUGUUGAACACCUAUUGUUUUGAAUUAAUAUUGGCUAUCACUUAAAUUAUUUUUGUAUUCUUGUUUUAGUAUUUCAUGCUUGAUUACCAUAGAGAUAAAUAUAUUGUCUAUUCUUUGACUCGGGAGACAAUAAGGUCGAUAGACCAAAGAAUACAAAAAGCUUGAUCUUCCAUUAAAUUGAGUUGAUUUGUGUUUAGGAGUGACUUUCAGACGAACACCUGACUUGGCUACAAAACAUGAUUAAUUGAGUCUCAUCUAUCGAAAACAACAUUUCUACCUCACAUAAGGUAGAGAUAAAGUCUGCAUGCAUUCUACUCUACCAUAUCUAAACCCUAUUUAUGGGGUAACAUUGUGUAUAUUGUUAUUUGAAACGUGUAGUGUAAUUUCUCUUUCUUUCAUAAACUCUCAAAAGGUCCAUUAAGGUUCAUAUAUUAAAUAGGACACUUCAUAACUAAAGCCCCUCUUCCACAAGUAUCCUUCCUUUGCAAUACAAUAUCUACUCCCAUUUUUCUCCAUGGAAAAUCUUUAACCAUAGAAAUAGAAAAAAGGAUUUUCCUGAAUUGUGGAUUAGGAACUAAGAAGGCGAUUGGAAGUUUCUCUAAGCAGUUGCAAUGACCAAGUUGAAACCUUUGGUUUUUCUUUUAUCAAGAAAUUUGUAGAUGGAGAUAACAAAAUACAAGGUCAAUACAAGCCGAGCAUACAUGAGGAUACUCUAAGCUACAAAGCAGAGCCCUAUUAAUCAAUAUAUGCUUCUGACUCAGAUCCCUAUACAUUUACAUAUUAAGCUGAACACCUUUUCUUUUGAUAAGGAAGGUAAUGUGUGUUAUAUUGAUUGUCAAGCUAUAACUAUUUAAAAAAUAAAACGGAGUUCCAUAUUUUCCACAUUUAGACGAAUUAAACUUAACCCAAAAUCAUGAAAGGAAACAUGUAGGCUAAAACUAUUAUCAUCCAAUUAGACAUAACUUAGAUCUCGUUAAAUUUACUUCCUACUCCAAUUACCUAAUUCUAUUCACUUUAACUAAUUCUCUACUACAAUGAAAUAUUCGGCAAACUAAAUCAAAAGAUAAAACUAAAGGAGUAUAAAAAUCCUAGAAAUAAUAAGAAAACUAUGCAAGUCAUAACCAAUAUAGUAGAAUACUUUCUAUAACUGUUGCGAGAAUAUCAAAAUUGAUGUGUCUAACUAUUAAUUAGAUUGUACUAUCUUUUCUUCAUAGUUCCCAUAACAUAGAAUAGAUAAACUUCCUCAUAAAACUAUGAAGUAUGGGUAAUAAUAGCACAAAAUUACUGGUUUUCCACAACAAAGAAGGGAAAAAAUGAUAAACAAUAACCUGCUAAAAGAAGUAGACCAAUUCUAGCCCGAAAUUUUCAAUCACAGACAAGGAAUAUACACCAAACCACUGAAUAUAUACAUGUUUACACUCUUUUACAAUUAUGAGAAUCCAUCAAGAAUUGACACAUUUCACAAUGUCUACAAGUUUAAUUCAACCCUCAUCCUUUAUUUAGAUUUGAUACAGGAAAUGCGAGCGAGCUCACACAUGUGGACACUCUUUUAUUAUUUGUCAUGAUUAAUUUGUAUGUAUCUAAACCAUUUUUCAGAAAGAGUAUCAAAAGACUUCUAACUUUCUCAUUUUUCAUUUGUAAUAAACCAUCCAUACAAAAACUACAAAAGGAGAAAACUUGAAAUGGGCAGUGAAGAAAGGAAGAAAGUUUACUCACCGCAGGUUUUCCAGGGAUAGAACAAUGCCACACCAUCAAAUUAACAGACCCAUCUGGACCAGUUUCAGGCCUAGCCACAAAUCC